rnacentral:rRNA from 1 species
GGGAUUGCCCUAGUAACGGCGAGUGAAGCGGCAACAGCUCAAAUUUGAAAUCUGGCUCUUUUAGAGUCCGAGUUGUAAUUUGCAGAGGGCGCUUUGGCUUUGGCAGCGGUCCAAGUUCCUUGGAACAGGACGUCACAGAGGGUGAGAAUCCCGUACGUGGUCGCUGGCUAUUGCCGUGUAAAGCCCCUUCGACGAGUCGAGUUGUUUGGGAAUGCAGCUCUAAAUGGGAGGUACAUUUCUUCUAAAGCUAAAUAUUGGCCAGAGACCGAUAGCGCACAAGUAGAGUGAUCGAAAGAUGAAAAGCACUUUGGAAAGAGAGUCAAACAGCACGUGAAAUUGUUGAAAGGGAAGCGCUUGCAGCCAGACUUGCUUGCAGUUGCUCAUCCGGGCUUUUGCCCGGUGCACUCUUCUGUAGGCAGGCCAGCAUCAGUUUGGGCGGUAGGAUAAAGGUCUCUGUCACGUACCUCUCUUCGGGGAGGCCUUAUAGGGGAGGCGACAUACUACCAGCCUGGACUGAGGUCCGCGCAUCUGCUAGGAUGCUGGCGUAAUGGCUGUAAGCGGCCCGUCUUGAAACACGGACCAAGGAGUCUAACAUCUAUGC